AUACGUAGGGUGCAAGCGUUAAUCGGAAUUACUGGGCGUAAAGCGUGCGCAGGCGGUUUUGUAAGACAGUGGUGAAAUCCCCGGGCUCAACCUGGGAACUGCCAUUGUGAAUGCAAGGCUGGAGUGCGGCAGAGGGGGAUGGAAUUCCGCGUGUAGCAGUGAAAUGCGUAGAUAUGCGGAGGAACACCGAUGGCGAAGGCAAUCCCCUGGGCCUGCACUUACGCUCAUGCACGAAAGCGUGGGGAGCAAACAGGAUUAGAUACCCUGGUAGUCCACGCCCUAAACGAUGUCAACUGGUUGUUGGGGACUUAUUUUCUCAGUAACGAAGCUAACGCGUGAAGUUGACCGCCUGGGGAGUACGGCCGCAAGGUUAAAACUCAAAUGAAUUGACGGGG
rnacentral:rRNA from 1 species